rnacentral:lncRNA from 1 species
CCUGAAACCUAGACGGAGACGUGCGAGAAACAGAUUUUGAACAUGAAAAGAGCAGCUGUGUUGGCUGAUACAGCCCUCUAUCCCCAGGCUGCCACCUCUCCCCUCUCCAACGGCCUUUACUUAACGGAACCUGGUUGCAGAGGCAGCUGGCUGAGCAUGUCUGCUCCUGCUGAAAUCUCACCACAGAUGCGGCUGCUUCAUAAUGACUAUAAUCAGAGCAAGCCCGGGCUCAUUUCAUGUCCACUGCUCUCUGGAGAUUCAUGCCCCAGUGACUCCAACUGACUGCUGACUUCAUUCUGAUCAAGGAACUACAGCCUCGAAAAAAAAAGAAGAGGAAAAAAAACGGAAAUCACAAUUAUAGCGCUCAACUGACCCACCUGCCAUUAACAAGAUGAAUUAGUUGGGUCCAUGCUAGUGACAACAACCACAGAGGGAAAAUGAUCCUGGUGCCUCAUAGACCUGGGCUCCCAGACACCACCAGGAAGCAGACAGGGGCCGCUUGGACCCCAGAGACCCAGGGAGAGAGGGAAGGAGAGAGAGAAGAGAGAGAGAGAGAGAGAGAGAGGGUAAUAAACAAGAUAAACACAUUUACUAAGGCUGCGAUUGUGUGGAAGAGUGAUAGAGGUUUACUUCUUGUGCAAUAAAAUAAAUUAUGCAGCACAGUGGUGCAGAUUGUAGUACAGAUCAACAUAGUAGCCACACUGGUUACGCUGCAUUCUGAGGUGAGUCCUACAGUAAAGCCCACUGAGGCUUAAUGCAGAGCAAUGUGAAGAGGCUCAAGGGGUUUUUCAUGAAUGCAAAAGCACACAGUGUUGUUUCAAUGGCACAGUCUCGUUUGCUCCUGAGCUUACAAUUGUUCUCUCUCAGAUUUAAUCAUGAUGAGUCAAUGUCAGUUAGGCAAAAGGCUCCUGUUCACAACCUACAGCUGUCAUCUGUGGCUAUGAAUGAAGGUUAAAAUAAGCUUGCUUGAUGACCCUUGUAUGAUAUUACAUUGUAGGAAUCUUUCUUCUGAACAUAAAUGCUGAAAACAAUAUGAUGCAAUUUAAUAGCAACUUUUGUUAGACUCCCCCUGCCUGGUAAAUGCCCUGCUGUUUGGAACACAGGAUUUGGGGUUAAGAAAUAGUCUCCCUGAUGGCAUCAUCAGGACUGUACUCUCAGACUUCACACAGCUCCUCUCACAGCCACAAGAAGAAGAAAAAAAAUCUGUUUUCAAAAUUCAUUCUGGUGAGUUACUGAACUUCAUGUGUAAAGUAUGUAGAAGUCUCUAAGCUUGUAGACUCCUUAAAAACCUGACUCACACACCUACAUACUUCAAGAUCCCAAGGUGAUCAUUAAAGGGAUAUAUACACACUUCCGUUUCAUAAAGCAAAAUCAGAUGAAAAUUGGCAAAAUGUAGAUAUAUUCAAUCUCUCGUGUAAUUACCACUUGUGGCAACAUGUGCAUACAGCAAAAACAUAUGUUUGCAGGGUUAUUAUCCAUGUGUUCUACCAUGGUUAGACUCAAAGCAUUAAUUUUCCAAACCCCAAAACAUAGUUUUAGGAAUGUGACAAGCUGAGUGUUAAGUGCAGUGUGAAAGCUGAACAGUGUAUGAAGGCAAUUUAUAACAGAAACGUCAUGUCAAAAUGAGUUGAUGUGCUUGUGACUUCAAUUGUAAUGUCAGAGAUUGUUAUGAAGGCCACAUGUGCACAAGAGAACGUGGUGGAGGAUGGUACCCAAGGACUUUUUUCCACAUCGCCAGAUUAAAGUGGCAAAAGUCAUGUCAAGAAAAAUCUUGAGCAACGCAAAGCAAAUGCAGACAAAGUCCUCUUCAUGAUAACAUUCUCAAAUGGGCAAUAUCUGUAUGCUCGUCAGGUUUUAUAGCCAAGGGGUGGUUGGAUGACUGAUGGCAUGUAAAAUAUGACAUCACGCCAGUGUGCAGCUUUUUUGAGCUCUGCACCAGUGAGGUCACUGGUGUCCUAAUGACUUCCUCGGGCUUCAUUGUCAGCUUCCUUCUCUGCAGCACAGGUAUGCAUGUCUUAAUUCAAUCAACUGUAAAUUAUCACAGUUGUCUUUCAUCAUUUCUUCCAAUGGAUUUUAGUAUGAAUUCAAAGAUAGAGACAUUCAUGCAUGUAUUAAAUGUACCAUG